rnacentral:misc_RNA from 1 species
GAUGAAGAGCGUAGCGAAAUGCGAUACUUGGUGUGAAUUGCAGAAUCCCGUGAACCAUCGAGUCUUUGAACGCAAGUUGCGCCCGAAGCCACUAGGCCGAGGGCACGCCUGCCUGGGCGUCACACGCCGUUGCCCCCCCAUCUACUCCUUCGGGAUUGCGGGGGGGCGGAUGAUGGCCUCCUGUGCGCCUAGCCGCGCGGUUGGCAUAAAUACCAAGUCCUCGGCGACGCACGCCACGACAAUCGGUGGUUGCGAAACCUCGGUUGCCCGUCGUGUGCGUUCGUCGCGCAUCGAGGGCUCGAAAAAAUGCUCGGCUCCGGCUGGGCUUUCAACGCGACCCCAGGUCAGGCGGGGUUACCCGCUGAAUUUAAGCAUAUCAAUAAGCGGAGGA